AUCUUUCUAGUAUUAAGUUAGUACUCCUGACUUCCAAUCAGACAGUCUUGGUCAAAAUCCAAGGAAAGAUA
rnacentral:tRNA from 1 species